rnacentral:rRNA from 1 species
UGGGGAAUAUUGCACAAUGGGCGAAAGCCCGAUGCAGCAACGCCGCGUGAGUGAUGAAGGCCUUCGGGUUGUAAAGCUCUGUCUUCUGGGACGAUAAUGACGGUACCAGAGGAGGAAGCCACGGCUAACUACGUGCCAGCAGCCGCGGUAAUACGUAGGUGGCAAGCGUUGUCCGGAUUUACUGGGCGUAAAGGAUGCGUAGGCGGAUACUUAAGUCAGAUGUGAAAAUCCCGGGCUUAACUUGGGAACUGCAUUUGAAACUGGGUAUCUAGAGUGCUGGAGAGGAAAGUGGAAUUCCUAGUGUAGCGGUGAAAUGCGUAGAGAUUAGGAAGAACACCAGUGGCGAAGGCGACUUUCUGGACCGUAACUGACGCUGAGGCAUGAAAGCGUGGGGAGCAAACA